GCUCGAUGUGACGCAGCCGUUUAGUGCGCAACACUGGCAGUGUUGAGGUCGACGGUUCGAUCCCGUCUCCGUCUAGCUCCA
rnacentral:tRNA from 1 species